AGCAAUAAUUGGUAAAUUGCGUUUACAAAAGGUACCCCAUCUUCUAAUAUGCACUAUACAGAUAGUGUUCGAUACAUACGAUAUACUCAUAAUAAGUGUUUGGAUUAUAUUAAAGCGCAUUGCAUUGCAUUCAAAGAUGAUAAUCCAUAUGCUGGACGGCCAAAUUAAUAAACACGUAAGUUAAAUUAUAUUAUAAAUUUUAUUAAGUAUUAAUAUAUCUAUCAAAUUUUUUAUAAUUGUAAAUUUAUUUUGUAGAAAAUAAGAGUGAAAAUUUGAUAUUUAAAAAAAAAAAUAGAAA
rnacentral:lncRNA from 1 species